CGCUUCUUUCCCUUCUUCCUUCCUCCUCUUCUUUCUCAUUAUCAACGCCAAUCAGAAGGUAAGAUGCACAACCAAGAGCAAUAAACACAUGUUCGGCAAUCGCUCAUUGGGACUCUAACCUUAAAGCUUGAUGGCUGCUUUUUGAGCUCACCGCAAAUGAAGGCUUUCUUCAUAGCAGUGUCUCCAAAAAAGUUUUCUUAAAAAAAUUGUUGGUUGCAUG
rnacentral:misc_RNA from 1 species